GACGAACCUUGCAAACGUUAUUCGGAAUCACUGGGCUUAAAGGGUGCGUAGGCGGUGCGGAAAGUUGGGUGUGAAAUCCCUCAGCUUAACUGAGGAACUGCGCUCAAAACUUCCGUGCUAGAGGGAGAUAGAGGUGAGCGGAACUUAGGGUGGAGCGGUGAAAUGCGUUGAUAUCCUAAGGAACACCGGUGGCGAAAGCGGCUCACUGGAUCUCUUCUGACGCUGAGGCACGAAAGCUAGGGGAGCGAACGGG
rnacentral:rRNA from 1 species